UUGGUUGAUCCUGUCAUAUGCUUGUCUCAAAGAUUAAGCCAGUCAUGUCUAAGUACACAUGGCUGGUACAGUGAAACUCUGAAUGAUUCAUUAAAUCAGUUAUGGUUCUUUUGGUUGCGAGGUCCUUCCUCCUACUUGUAUAACUGGUAAUUCUAGAACCAAUAUAUGCUGAUGAACUGACUCCAGUCCCCUUCCCCUACAGGUGGCCCCAUCCUAGAGAAUGAGUACAUUUAUUAGACCAAAACUAAUCGCUUUACCCCCAAUCAGGGACUGGUGUCCCAGGAACUUUGGUAACUCUAGAUAACCUUGGACCAAGCACCCACCCCAGUAGUGGCAAUGGUCCAUUUAAAAGAAUACUCUAUCAACUUUUGAUGGUACUUGCCAUAUCUAUUAUAGUGACCUUGGGUGACAAGGAAUCAGGAUUCAGUAAGAAGCCUGAGAAAUGGCUGCUACAUCCAAGGAAGGCAGCAGGCUUACUAAUUACCUAGUCCCAACUAGUGUAGAAAGCAGGAAAAAAAAUAAUUUUUGAGGCCCUGUAAUUGGAGUAUAUUUUAAAUCCUUUAAUGAGAAUCCAACUUACAGCAAGUUUAAUACCAGCAGCCCCAGUAAAUUCAGCUCCAGUAUGU
rnacentral:ncRNA from 1 species